UACGGGGGGGGCAAGCGUUGUUCGGAAUUACUGGGCGUAAAGGGCUCGUAGGCGGCCAACUAAGUCCGACGUGAAAUCCCAAGGCUUAACCUUGGAACUGCGUCGGAUACUGGAUGGCUUGAAUUCGGGAGAGGGAUGCAGAAUUCCAGGUGUAGCGGUGAAAUGCGUAGAUAUCUGGAGGAAUACCGGUGGCGAAGGCGGCAUCCUGGACCAAUAUUGACGCUGAGGAGCGAAAGCCAGGGGAGCAAACGGG
rnacentral:rRNA from 1 species